rnacentral:misc_RNA from 1 species
GGCAAUUUUGAUAGAGGUUUGUCCUGUUAUGGCAUUUAGUCCUGAAAAUUUUCUUCUUAUAUGUACUUGUAUGUACUCGAUAUCUUAAAUGGCUAUGGACCAUGACUUGUUGUGCAGCUUUUCCCCAUCUAAGAAACCUUUUCCAUAAACAAAUAAAGUAAACACUGAUGCUUUUCUGCUGGUAUGGUAAUCAAAUUAUUGGUGGUUUUUUGAGAAUUUAAUAAAGGCUUAGUUGAGA